UGUGUCCACACACUCAUGCCUUGUUUCAGGCAAGAAUAGUAAGGAGGUGAAGGAGGAGAGUGCUGAAGAAAGACUGAGGCAGUGGGCGUAUGAAAGAGGCUGCCAGCAGCUCGAGAGGCGCAUUGAAGUGGUGGAAGAUCUCCGGAUUCAAAUUCUGAAGCUGCUGCUGAACAGCUAGGACAGAGGAGGGGUAAGCACUCAGUGGAUCUUUUGCUACAUUAUCUCUGCAUACCACGUAAGGUACAGAAGUGCCACAGCUGAGGAGACGUUCAGUCCUCAGAAGUAGUUCUCUAACUGAUCCAGUCAGGCAGGCUGAACUGCAGAAACUGACUUUUUGGGCUCUGUUUAAAGGGGUAACACGGAAUCACAGAAUCAUAGAUAGUCUCAGAUGCUUUGCCAGUGUUGACUGAUGACAUGAGCUGCACCUGAGCCAGCCUUGUGUUUCUGUUAAACUAGGCAGACACUGUGACCGCAGUGCACUCUACCCUGACAAUUAAUAUUAGUUCCAGAGAGCAAGGAAUGGCAGUUGUGUGAGAAUGUGCCUCUACAGAGCAGGUGGAGAAUGUUCAGCUAGAUAAAGCUGUGCAUCUUCUGGCCAUCAUCAGUGCAUCCCAGUAUGGGCCUCAGAAAGCAGUGACCCACAGGAUACACAUGGGUGCUCCAGCAAGGUGGUAACUGGGUCAACUGUUUUCUCCUGCUGAACGUAGC
rnacentral:lncRNA from 1 species